GGCGGAUGUAGCCAAGUGGAC
rnacentral:tRNA from 1 species